rnacentral:rRNA from 1 species
UACAGAGGUGGCAAGCGUUGUUCGGAAUUACUGGGCGUAAAGGGCGCGUAGGCGGCCUUCUAAGUCAGACGUGAAAUCCCCCGGCCUAACCUGGGAACUGCGUCUGAUACUGGGAGGCUUGAGUAUGGGAGAGGGAUGUAGAAUUCCAGGUGUAGCGGUGAAAUGCGUAGAUAUCUGGAGGAAUACCGGUGGCGAAGGCGGCAUCCUGGACCAUAACUGACGCUGAGGCGCGAAAGCAUGGGGAGCGAACAGG